AGAGUUUGAUCCUGGCUCAGAUUGAACGCUGGCGGCGUGCCUUACACAUGCAAGUCGAACGGCAGCACGAGAGCUUGCUCUUGGUGGCGAGUGGCGAACGGGUGAGUAAUAUAUCGGAACGUACCCUAGAGUGGGGGAUAACGUAGCGAAAGUUACGCUAAUACCGCAUACGAUCUACGGAUGAAAGUGGGGGAUCGCAAGACCUCAUGCUCAUGGAGCGGCCGAUAUCUGAUUAGCUAGUUGGUGGGGUAAAAGCUCACCAAGGCGACGAUCAGUAGCUGGUCUGAGAGGACGACCAGCCACUCUGGAACUGAGACACGGUCCAGACUCCUACGGGAGGCAGCAGUGGGGAAUUUUGGACAAUGGGCGCAAGCCUGAUCCAGCAAUGCCGCGUGAGUGAAGAAGGCCUUCGGGUUGUAAAGCUCUUUUGUCAGGGAAGAAACGGUGGACUCUAAUACAGAUCACUAAUGACGGUACCUGAAGAAUAAGCACCGGCUAACUACGUGCCAGCAGCCGCGGUAAUACGUAGGGUGCAAGCGUUAAUCGGAAUUACUGGGCGUAAAGCGUGCGCAGGCGGUUGUGCAAGACAGAUGUGAAAUCCCCGGGCUCAACCUGGGAAUUGCAUUUGUGACUGCACGGCUAGAGUGUGUCAGAGGGGGGUAGAAUUCCACGUGUAGCAGUGAAAUGCGUAGAGAUGUGGAGGAAUACCGAUGGCGAAGGCAGCCCCCUGGGAUAACACUGACGCUCAUGCACGAAAGCGUGGGGAGCAAACAGGAUUAGAUACCCUGGUAGUCCACGCCCUAAACGAUGUCUACUAGUUGUCGGGUCUUAAUUGACUUGGUAACGCAGCUAACGCGUGAAGUAGACCGCCUGGGGAGUACGGUCGUAAGAUUAAAACUCAAAGGAAUUGACGGGGACCCGCACAAGCGGUGGAUGAUGUGGAUUAAUUCGAUGCAACGCGAAAAACCUUACCUACCCUUGACAUGUCUGGAAUCCUUGAGAGAUCAGGGAGUGCUCGAAAGAGAAUCAGAACACAGGUGCUGCACGGCUGUCGUCAGCUCGUGUCGUGAGAUGUUGGGUUAAGUCCCGCAACGAGCGCAACCCUUGUCAUUAGUUGCUACGAAAGGGCACUCUAAUGAGACUGCCGGUGACAAACCGGAGGAAGGUGGGGAUGACGUCAAGUCCUCAUGGCCCUUAUGGGUAGGGCUUCACACGUCAUACAAUGGUACAUACAGAGGGCCGCCAACCCGCGAGGGGGAGCUAAUCCCAGAAAGUGUAUCGUAGUCCGGAUUGUAGUCUGCAACUCGACUACAUGAAGUUGGAAUCGCUAGUAAUCGCGGAUCAGCAUGUCGCGGUGAAUACGUUCCCGGGUCUUGUACACACCGCCCGUCACACCAUGGGAGCGGGUUUCACCAGAAGUGGGUAGCCUAACCGCAAGGAGGGCGCUCACCACGGUGGGAUUCGUGACUGGGGUGAAGUCGUAACAAGGUA
rnacentral:rRNA from 1 species